rnacentral:lncRNA from 1 species
GCUUCUUCAGAGUUGAGUAAGAUUAAAAAAGCCCGACAUCUCCAAUAUUCCUCAGCAACGGUUUAUGUACCUGCAUAGACAGAUGAAAAAAGGGCUUGAGGAUGUAUUUAAAAACAUGCAUGUAUAUGAUGGAUGGUUAGAGAGAGAGCAUGCAAGAAUAUGAUACAGAUUAAUGGCUCUCUGUAUUUUUGGAGUCUUUUUGUUUCAGGCCCAUAGUUCUGGUGCAUUGGAAGGGUUCUGGAAUUUUAGAACACAAAGUAGCAGUUUUAAAUAAUGAGAGAAGAUUCCACAUGGAACGCUCAUCUGGCUGUGGCAGCCUGUGACUGAAUGAGAGAAAAGUGCCCUAGAAGCUAUUCAUUACGAAUUCACUGGAAGCUCUCAAACGAGGCUGGCAGAAGCUGAAAUUGAAGUGGUCUCUGACCUAAUUUUCUUCUGCAUGAAACAUCUGCAUCAAGGCUCUCUUUGAUGUAUUCCACUUGGCUCUGUCUAUAGGAUUGUAUCACAUGGACUCGGUGUUGCCUCCUUAUUGAAAGACAUUUCCAGCCUUUGCAAGAUUCAUCUCACUGCUAAUUCAUAUUCAGCUUCUUCCCCAACAUAAUUUCUAAGGCAGAAGUUUGAAAGCUGGUACCAAUCCAUGGCCUGUUGAGAACUAGGCCUCACAACAGGAGUUUGCAGCAUCACUGAAAACGAUGCACUCUCCUGCCAAGUCCCAUCUUUGGGAAGGAGGAAAUUGAUUAGAUCCAGGAGGUUUUCAUAAAUGCAGCAAGUGACUUUCUCAGCAUCAUCUGAAACAUCCAAAUCCUACAUGCCCUUCAGGGCCCAGUUCAAAUACUCUCCCAAGAAACCCUCCCUGAUUCUCACCAGCUUCUUCCUGGGAACGCCAACCCAUCGUAUGCUGACAUCACCAUCUCAUUUAAAUAUCAGGUAUACUCUUGGAUUAUCUCUCUUCCUCAAGGCUUCUUGAUGGCAGGGUUUCCAUCCGACUC